rnacentral:rRNA from 1 species
GAUGAACGCUGGCGGCGUGCCUAAUACAUGCAAGUCGAGCGAACAGACGAGGAGCUUGCUCCUCUGACGUUAGCGGCGGACGGGUGAGUAACACGUGGAUAACCUACCUAUAAGACUGGGAUAACUUCGGGAAACCGGAGCUAAUACCGGAUAAUAUAUUGAACCGCAUGGUUCAAUAGUGAAAGACGGUUUUGCUGUCACUUAUAGAUGGAUCCGCGCCGCAUUAGCUAGUUGGUAAGGUAACGGCUUACCAAGGCAACGAUGCGUAGCCGACCUGAGAGGGUGAUCGGCCACACUGGAACUGAGACACGGUCCAGACUCCUACGGGAGGCAGCAGUAGGGAAUCUUCCGCAGUGGGCGAAAGCCUGACGGAGCAACGCCGCGUGAGUGAUGAAGGUCUUCGGAUCGUAAAACUCUGUUAUUAGGAAAGAACAAAUGUGUAAGUAACUAUGCACGUCUUGACGGUACCUAAUCAGAAAGCCACGGCUAACUACGU